CCCAAGCCAGGUGAAAACUACACGGGUUUCAAGGAGGAGGCCACUUCCAGCUCUGAAUAACAGAAGCAUCCAGAAGGAAGUAACCAGAGGCUUCUGCCAAUUGAUCUGGAGACUGGGAAAAGGUCCCACAGUUAUUAAUAACCCCCUGUUCUGGGAACUGAUGUCAUGCACCAGACAAAGGGAUUAAAAAGAUGCUGUGGAAGGCAAAGUGGUUUCAGCCGGAGCUCCACUUUCUCUUCUCCAAUCAGAGAGCAUUUGUCUCCCCGGGAACGCUCCGGGCUGCCUGGCCUCUUGACAGACCUGGCGAGCGGGAGCUGUGCGGCUGAUCGCCACACUUUUAUAGCCGCUCAGUCUUCGUGGCGUCCUUUCUGCGGGCGACCCCCAUUUCAGUCUGCUCUGAGAUGGGGUGAAAACAGGGGUUUGUGUGGCUUCUGGGAAAGAGAGCUGAGGGUGGCCCCUCAGGGCCUGCGGCCUUAGCAGCACGGCUGCUGGAAUCCUGGAAGACAGAAACUGUGUCAAUUAAACUUUGCAAAGUCAGGGCCCUGAACAUCACCUUGUCACCCGAGUGGCAGUGAUGUUGGCUGCGUGGCUGCCGUUUCGCGUGUCCAGGCCCACUCAGGAAGAGGCCACGAAUGACUAGAUCAGAGACCUGAGAGGGCGUCAGAGAAUCCGUCCUUGGAAACAGGAAGAGUGGUUUUAUGGAGACGCAACCUGAAACGGCUCCGUGAAGACGACGGACGCGCCGACUGUCGACACGGAGGUGGAGGAGCUGGAGCGCUCCCACAUUUUGCCCGGAAAUGCAAAACGCCACUCUGGGGCCCGGGUGGCAGCUUCUCAUAGGGUUAAGCUACACGCACCAGGUGGCCCAGCCAUCCCACUGCCAGGUGUUCACUGAGGACAACUGAAAGCCCGGUCACACACAGACUCGUGCUCGUCUUUCACAGACGCUUUAUCCGUAACAGACACGCACCACAAACAACUCGUGUCAUCAAGUGCUGAACAAAUUGUAGCAACCCCUACACUGGAAACCAGUUCGCCACCAAAAAGAGUGAACUCCGAUCCGCCACAGCAGAUGCAUCUCAAAAGCGUUCCACACAGGAGAGAAUCUGGGUACAGAAGACUACAUUCCGGAUGAUUCCAUUCACGCAAAAGUACAGAAAAUGUGGAACUGUGGUUUCGGAAAGCUGGUUGGCGGUGGCCAGGGCCCGGGGUGGCGGACAGGGACUGACUGCAAAGGGCUGGAGAGAACUUUUUCAGGUGAUGGUCGUUUUACAACUGUGUACAUUUGUCGAAACUCUUUGAAUUUUUUAUUUAAAAUUGGUAAAUUUUGGUGUAUGUAAAUUAUACCUGAAUAAAGCUGAUUUUAAAAAUAA